rnacentral:pre_miRNA from 1 species
AGGAUAUAAAAAGAACGUGUGUACAUGAAUCCAGUGAAUACUUGUACCCGUAUUUUUAUAUCCGAG